AUUGAACGCUGGCGGCAGGCCUAACACAUGCAAGUCGAACGAGUGGGGGACGGGGGAGUAAUGUCUGUGAAACUGUGCGAGGGGGGGGGAUAACAACUGGAGACGGGAGCUCAAACCCCGUACCCUAUGAUAUGCCCAGAGAGGAUUAGAUAGUGUGGGGGGUAACGGCUCACCUAGGCGACGAUCCCUAGCUGGUGUGAGAGGAUGACCCGCCACACUGGAACUGAGACACGGUCCAGACUCCUACGGGAGGCAGCAGUGGGGAAUAUUGCACAAUGGGCGCAAGCCUGAUGCAGCCAUGCCGCGUGUAUGAAGAAGGCCUUCGGGUUGUAAAGUACUUUCAGCGAGGAGGCGUUACUCGCAGAAGAAGCACCGGCUAACUCCGUGCCAGCAGCCGCGGUAAUUC
rnacentral:rRNA from 1 species